ACUGCUCAGUAACACGUGGAUAACCUGCCCUUGGGUCCGGCAUAACCCCGGGAAACUGGGGAUAAUUCCGGAUAACGCAUAUGUGCUGGAAUGCUUUAUGCGUAAAAUGGAUUCGUCCGCCCAAGGAUGGGUCUGCGGCCUAUCAGGUAGUAGUGGGUGUAAUGUACCUACUAGCCGACAACGGGUACGGGUUGUGAGAGCAAGAGCCCGGAGAUGGAUUCUGAGACAUGAAUCCAGGCCCUACGGGGCGCAGCAGGCGCGAAAACUUUACAAUGCGGGAAACCGUGAUAAGGGGACACCGAGUGUCAGCAUCAUAUGCUGGCUGUCCAGGUGUGUAAAAUACACCUGUUAGUAAGGGCCGGGCAAGACCGGUGCCAGCCGCCGCGGUAACACCGGCGGCCCGAGUGGUGAUCGUGAUUAUUGGGUCUAAAGGGUCCGUAGCCGGUUUGGUCAGUCCUCCGGGAAAUCUGAUAGCUCAACUAUUAGGCUAUCGGGGGAUACUACCAGACUUGGAACCGGGAGAGGUAAGAGGUGCUACAGGGGUAGGAGUGAAAUCUUGUAAUCCCUGUGGGACCACCUGUGGCGAAGGCGUCUUACCAGAACGGGUUCGACGGUGAGGGACGAAAGCUGGGGGCACGAACCGGAUUAGAUACCCGGGUAGUCCCAGCCGUAAACGAUGCUCGCUAGGUGUCAGGCAUGGCGCGACCGUGUCUGGUGCCGCAGGGAAGCCGUGAAGCGAGCCACCUGGGAAGUACGGCCGCAAGGCUGAAACUUAAAGGAAUUGGCGGGGGGAGCACAA
rnacentral:rRNA from 1 species